rnacentral:rRNA from 1 species
GAUGAACGCUGGCGGCGUGCCUAAUACAUGCAAGUCGAGCGAACGGACGAGAAGCUUGCUUCUCUGAUGUUAGCGGCGGACGGGUGAGUAACACGUGGAUAACCUACCUAUAAGACUGGGAUAACUUCGGGAAACCGGAGCUAAUACCGGAUAAUAUUUUGAACCGCAUGGUUCAAAAGUGAAAGACGGUCUUGCUGUCACUUAUAGAUGGAUCCGCGCUGCAUUAGCUAGUUGGUAAGGUAACGGCUUACCAGGGCAACGAUGCAUAGCCGACCUGAGAGGGUGAUCGGCCACACUGGAACUGAGACACGGUCCAGACUCCUACGGGAGGCAGCAGUAGGGAAUCUUCCGCAAUGGGCGAAAGCCUGACGGAGCAACGCCGCGUGAGUGAUGAAGGUCUUCGGAUCGUAAAACUCUGUUAUUAGGGAAGAACAUAUGUGUAAGUAACUGUGCACAUCUUGACGGUACCUAAUCAGAAAGCCACGGCUAACUACGUGCCAGCAGCCGCGGUAAUACGUAGGUGGCAAGCGUUAUCCGGAAUUAUUGGGCGUAAAGCGCGCGUAGGCGGUUUUUUAAGUCUGAUGUGAAAGCCCACGGCUCAACCGUGGAGGGUCAUUGGAAACUGGAAAACUUGAGUGCAGAAGAGGAAAGUGGAAUUCCAUGUGUAGCGGUGAAAUGCGCAGAGAUAUGGAGGAACACCAGUGGCGAAGGCGACUUUCUGGUCUGUAACUGACGCUGAUGUGCGAAAGCGUGGGGAUCAAACAGGAUUAGAUACCCUGGUAGUCCACGCCGUAAACGAUGAGUGCUAAGUGUUAGGGGGUUUCCGCCCCUUAGUGCUGCAGCUAACGCAUUAAGCACUCCGCCUGGGGAGUACGACCGCAAGGUUGAAACUCGAAGGAAUCGACGGGGACCCGCACAAGCGGUGGAGCAUGUGGUUUAAUUCGAAGCAACGCGAAGAACCUUACCAAAUCUUGACAUCCUUUGACAACUCUAGAGAUAGAGCCUUCCCCUUCGGGGGACAAAGUGACAGGUGGUGCAUGGUUGUCGUCAGCUCGUGUCGUGAGAUGUUGGGUUAAGUCCCGCAACGAGCGCAACCCUUAAGCUUAGUUGCCAUCAUUAAGUUGGGCACUCUAAGUUGACUGCCGGUGACAAACCGGAGGAAGGUGGGGAUGACGUCAAAUCAUCAUGCCCCUUAUGAUUUGGGCUACACACGUGCUACAAUGGACAAUACAAAGGGCAGCGAAACCGCGAGGUCAAGCAAAUCCCAUAAAGUUGUUCUCAGUUCGGAUUGUAGUCUGCAACUCGACUACAUGAAGCUGGAAUCGCUAGUAAUCGUAGAUCAGCAUGCUACGGUGAAUACGUUCCCGGGUCU